AACAAAUCUAUUGCUUGCCAAGCCCUGCGGUUACCGCUGCGGGAGGAGGGCGGUGAAAAGAGGCGUCA
rfam:Rhodoferax antarcticus ANT.BR grfa_new.contig.12_1, whole genome shotgun sequence.